CUUAUUUUCAGUGGCGAGCUUAACCGAAUAGGGGAGGCGUAGCGAAAGCGAGUCUUAAUAGGGCGUCUAGUCGCUGGGAAUAGCCCCGAAACCGGGCGAUCUAUCCAUGGGCAGGUUGAAGGUUGGGUAACACUAACUGGAGGACCGAACCGACUACCGUUGAAAAGUUAGCGGAUGACCUGUGGAUCGGAGUGAAAGGCUAAUCAAGCUCGGAGAUAGCUGGUUCUCCUCGAAAGCUAUUUAGGUAGCGCCUCAUGUAUCACUGUAGGGGGUAGAGCACUGUUUCGGCUAGGGGGUCAUCCCGACUUACCAAACCGAUGCAAACUCCGAAUACCUACAAGUGCCGAGCAUGGGAGACACACGGCGGGUGCUAACGUCCGUCAUGAAAAGGGAAACAACCCAGACCGUCAGCUAAGGUCCCAAAGUCAUGGUUAAGUGGGAAACGAUGUGGGAAGGCUUAGACAGCUAGGAGGUUGGCUUAGAAGCAGCCACCCUUUAAAGAAAGCGUAAUAGCUCACUAGUCGAGUCGGCCUGCGCGGAAGAUGUAACGGGGCUCAAACCAUGCACCGAAGCUACGGGUAUCAUCUUAUGAUGAUGCGGUAGAGGAGCGUUCUGUAAGCCUGUGAAGGGGAGUUGAGAAGCUUGCUGGAGGUAUCAGAAGUGCGAAUGCUGACAUGAGUAACGACAAUGGGUGUGAAAAACACCCACGCCGAAAGACCAAGGUUUCCUGCGCAACGUUAAUCGACGCAGGGUUAGUCGGUCCCUAAGGCGAGGCUGAAAAGCGUAGUCGAUGGAAAACAGGUUAAUAUUCCUGUACUUCUGGUUAUUGCGAUGGAGGGACGGAGAAGGCUAGGCCAGCCUGGCGUUGGUAGUCCAGGUUUAAGGUUAUUGCGAUGGAGGGACGGAGAAGGCUAGGCCAGCCUGGCGUUGGUAGUCCAGGUUUAAGGUGGUAGGCUGAGAUCUUAGGUAAAUCCGGGAUCUUAAGGCCGAGAGCUGAUGACGAGUGUUCUUUU
rnacentral:rRNA from 2 species